rnacentral:rRNA from 1 species
GUGAGGAAUAUUGCGCAAUGGAGGCAACUCUGACGCAGCCAUGCCGCGUGCAGGAAGAAGGCGCUACGCGUUGUAAACUGCUUUUAACCGGGAAGAAACCCCAGGACGUGUCCUGGGUUGACGGUACCGGAGGAAUAAGCACCGGCUAACUUCGUGCCAGCAGCCGCGGUAAUACGAAGGGUGCAAGCGUUAUCCGGAUUCAUUGGGUUUAAAGGGUGCGUAGGCGGAGCGUUAAGUCAGUGGUGAAAUCCUGCAGCUUAACUGUAGACUUGCCAUUGAUACUGGCGCUCUUGAGUGCGCUUGAAGUGGGCGGAAUGUGCCAUGUAGCGGUGAAAUGCUUAGAUAUGGCACAGAACACCAAUUGCGAAGGCAGCUCACUAAGGCGAUACUGACGCUGAGGCACGAAAGCGUGGGGAUCGAACAGGAUUAGAAACCCCGGUAGUCC